ensembl:lncRNA
CCCGGGGCCGUAGAGAGAGGGGACCAAGUUGUGUUCAUUUCCUCUCAUGCCACACAUCCCCAAAUCCCCAAAUCCCACACACACACACACACACACACACACACACACACACAUGAAGCAUCAUUUAAAUAACUUAGCACCGAUUGCUGCAAGGCUUACAAUUUUGAAACUAAAAAGGGAAAAAGAGAAAUAAAUACAAAUAAAUUCAUAAAGUCAAAUUUACAAUUAAAGCCUUGGAUUUUCAAGAACAUCCUAUCAGGGUUUGCCAAACUGCAUUCAAUCUUGCCUCGACCAAUAGAAAGGUGCAGGCUGAUCAUUAGGUUGAAAGUGUGCAGGAAGGGCAGUGAGUCAGCUGAUGUAGAGGCUCCUCCCACUCCGCAAUGUAGAGGCUCCUCCCCCUACGGUAUGCAGAGGCUCCUCCCACUACGGUAUGCAGAGGCUUCUCCCACUACGGUAUGCAGAGGCUCCUCCCACUACGGUAUGCAGAGGCUCCUCCCACUACGGUAUGCAGAGGCUGAGCUCCUGGAGAAACCUGUAAAACUUUCCCUCUCGGGCGGAGCUCUGAGAUUGUUAUACACAAGUCAGAGUUGUACGUUGAAAAAAAUGCAAUACAUUAAAUGUACACACACACACACACACACACACACACACACACACACAAACAAACACAAACAAGGAUCACACAUAUACUUUAAGUUAUACAUUUUGUGUUGUAAUCUAUCCAUAUAUAUAUAUACACAUAAACAUUAUAAUAUAAACGUACAAAACGUAUUCAAGGACGACUGACAAGCUUAACAUCUGAUAAAGACAACUGGUAAACACCUAUAGGCACACAGAUCGAUCCAGCGAGAUACAGUGGUACACAACAUCAACAUCUCCUAGAGGGGGUCUUCACUGACCCCGUCCUCCUCAGCGGACAUCUUGGUUCGAAAUGCCAUCUGGGAGGUGAAUGUGGGGGUCCACCAAGGACAUAUUAUAGAAUGGAGACCGGAUUCCAAAAUGGCGCCCAUAGAUUCCUAUGUAAACUGCUCGAUGGCGCAGGGCAACAUCAAGGAGAGCUAUGCUUCUGCAUCAUGGGAGCCUAGCCACGCCCUAGUUCAAUAUUCCCCCACCCCCACCCCACCCCGUCAACAAACCAGCGCAAGGCGGUAAGGUCUUCACUCCCCCCUCAACAACUUCAAGAGACCCCCACAAAGAUUGAAUCAUAACUCAAACCCUGCAUGGAAGUAGUAAAUGCCGGGCCGAAACAACAUUUGUUUCAGUACGACUCCUUUCAGCUGCCCACCCCUCCUUCUCCAGCAAAAAAAUAUGAUAUAAAACGUCUAAUAAAACGCUUGAGGUGCGGUUUGAAAAGAGAAAACUUAAAUUUUCUUAGCACAUGGCAUAAAGAUAAUUAUGAGCCUUUGAUUGAUAUCCAGACAUUUUUUGCGGAGACACAUUCCUGUUCCCCACUUGUAUUGGAGUGAACGGAGAUAUCUACUUCUGGGUCCCUUGAAUCGAGGGACCCGUCCACAGCCCGCUUAGUAUGCGCAGUGUUCCCGGGGGCUUGGGGUCCACGCUCACCUCCCAGAUAGUGUUUGGAACCAAGAUGGCCGGCAUGUGAGUAAAACCUGGUGUCAAACACGCUAUUGGCUAAGACAAGAGCAGAGCAAGAUGGGAAGGCACACGCACACAGAACGGACAAGAGCACUGAGAACCAACACAUUCAUGGCUGAACACAAGGGCAGCAGGUAACAUGGCACACCUACAGGCGUCACAUUUAUGUACAGAUACGUUCCUGUCCAGACCCCCUCCACUUCAACCUCCACCACCACCACCUCCACCACCACCAGCACCACCACCUCUACCUCCUCCACCACCACCCCCACCACCACCAUCACCAUCACCACCACCACCACCACCACCACCACCACCACCACCACC